rnacentral:rRNA from 1 species
UACGGAGGGUGCGAGCGUUGUCCGGAAUCACUGGGCGUAAAGGGCCCGUAGGCGGCCUGAUAAGUAGGGGGUGAAAUCCUGCGGCUUAACCGCAGGGCUGCCUUCUAAACUGUCAGGCUCGAGCACAGUAGAGGCAGGUGGAAUUCCCGGUGUAGCGGUGGAAUGCGUAGAGAUCGGGAAGAACAUCAGUGGCGAAGGCGGCCUGCUGGGCUGUUGCUGACGCUGAGGCGCGACAGCGUGGGGAGCAAACAGG